GAUGAACGCUGGCGGCGUGCCUAAUACAUGCAAGUCGAGCGAACGGACGAGAAGCUUGCUUCUCUGAUGUUAGCGGCGGACGGGUGAGUAACACGUGGAUAACCUACCUAUAAGACUGGGAUAACUUCGGGAAACCGUAGCUAAUACCGGAUAAUAUUUUGAACCGCAUGGUUCAAAAGUGAAAGACGGUCUUGCUGUCACUUAUAGAUGGAUCCGCGCUGCAUUAGCUAGUUGGUAAGGUAACGGCUUACCAAGGCAACGAUGCAUAGCCGACCUGAGAGGGUGAUCGGCCACCCUGGAACUGAGACACGGUCCAGACUCCUACGGGAGGCAGCAGUGGGGACUCUUCCGCAAUGGGCGGAAGCCUGACCGAGCCACACCGCGUGAGUGAUGAAGGUCUUCGGAUCGUAAAACUCUGUUAUUAGGGAAGAACAUAUGUGUAAGUAACUGUGCACAUCUUGACGGUACCUAAUCAGAAAGCCACGGCUAACUACGUG
rnacentral:rRNA from 1 species